rnacentral:lncRNA from 1 species
AUCUUGAUGUAGUCAUUGUGUGCAAUGAAUAUGGGACCAAAUACUAAACAUUUGACAACUUUAACCCACUAAGUGAUAUGUGUCCAAAUACUUAAAAUCUUCAAAUGGGGAGGGGGGGGGAACUAGACAUAUAUAAAGUGCUUUCAUUCCUAAACGGUAAAUCAGACAAUUCUGAAAAUACCAUGAAUUAAAAGGUGACAUUCUGUACUGUAUUCUGUACUGUAACUGUAGAAAAAGCCCAUGGAGUUGGUGGAAUAAUCCUUUAAUUCACUGCCAUUUACUCAGCUGGGCCAGGGGCGCUUUAAUUAGGUCAGGUGGAAAUAUCCGACAGAUCUCCACUCCAUAAAAGGAGUAAAUCACCAUCGCCUGAUCGCGCUGCUUUCUCUUCCUUCACUCUGUGCGUCCAUGAAUCCACCAAUACUUCAUCGAGAAACGAACAUCCUCCUAGCUGACUUAGAAGACACGGAGUGUGCAAAUCCGGCUCUGCCUGGUGCAUCACACAGUUGGAGUGUGAGGAAGGAACUCUCACAGGAUAGGUGAAGGGAGUCCAGGCCUGAGAUCGUAGAUUCUCUGCUGGCUGCAGAGCAUGCUUCUCAGAAAAUAUGUUAGUCAUACAAUUUGAACAGGGCUAUUCUGCGAUGUAGAGACUGUCUGCCGAAACAGCUUUACCCUCGAGGACUGCGAUGUCUCUACACAUGCAACGUUCCCCUUGCACAACAGAGAGUCCAUGAUUGAGGGAUUCUACCUGCCCCUUCCUCCAACUACAGCCAUAUCUCUCCACAGUCAUGAUUGUUUCUUACCAUUGGACGUACCAGAGGUGAUAUGUGGUUGCCUGACUAGCACCAUCCAUGUUGGCCCUGGGAAACAUAUCAUCCUUGUGGGAAUAAAUGGUCGCUACAAUGUCACAGUGCCUGUGCUGACCUGCACAACCUGUCUUAUCACCUGGACAGCAAACUUGGCAGAUCUGAUAAAGAAUGGGUACUGGCCUGCCACUGUCAACUGUGACACCAUAUAACUGGUAGAUCUGUUCAGCUCUUGAGGAGCUGAAAGUGUUAGCCCCAGGAAUGUCUGUCUGGUGUUUGUGUGGGUUUUGGAGCAGCAAACUGACUUCUUUGGCAGGGUAACAAUAAAUUAUACUCAGCUUUACCAAUGUAUGACUACAAGUUAACUAUGUUACAUUUUGUUUCAACACUUUGUAAUAUAACUUUAUUUCCAGUACUACAACUGUUAACUUCAGGUCUCUUGCUGCAGUAUGUUAGCCUCCUGCACCACUGUCCUGCCAUGCCCCUUAUCUGUGCCCCUCUUGCAUCCAAUAUUUCCUGUUUUUUACAGCAUAAGUACUCAUCCUACUUUUGCAUUUGCUUUCACCUGCUUUGCUGGCAAUGCUAUGCACUGGCCCUGCUUUAACUCAAAUCCAGUCAGCCAUAGUGAAUUAUAAUAUGUUUUGUUUAUAGUGUUGUUGUACGUUAUUUCAUGUCUUUCCCAUAUGUAUUUUUCCUUACAAGAACGGAAUGUUCUGUGGGGACACUUUUUAAAAAAGCUUCUUUGAGUGGACGUACUGCCGCUCUGAAAAUGAUCAGGUCUGUGAUAUACAGUACUUUGACUGCCCAGCCUGUUCACCCAGCAUGCUUGCAGUGUCAGUGGAUGGGAACAAGAAACUGUAUCGAUUCAAAAAAGGGGCUGAUGACAAAGGAUUCUUUGAUGGUGUAUUUAUCUGCAAGGAUGAGGAUGUCUGACUUUGAACAAUGUCCACACAAAGACUAAACAUGUACUGUGGAUCUUCUAAUCUGUGAAAUAGGACUGGUCUUGGGCCAUCUGACUCAAAGGCAGACUAGUUAUACACUAUUCCAAUAAAAAACCCACUUUGGAGAGAUGGUAAUCCUCUCUCUUCAAGUCCAGGGUCGUUACACCACUCCCUCUGUUCAGAAAUGCAACACACUUUACAAGUGCAUCUUUUUGACAGUCUCCAACUUCUGAUCUCCUUUGUAGCGAACACAGGGGGUAGCUCAGCGCCCUCAGCUAGGUUUUAAAAACCUAACCACUGUCACGUUAACACCCCCCCCCAAUUAUUUUUUUCAUUUUUCGACCUAUACUCUUCUACUUGUCUAGGGUUAUGGAAUAGGGUUAUGGAAAAGGGCUAUGUGGAGCAUCCCAGUGCACAGCAGCUAAAGAGUCAAGGAAAACAAACGACAAACUUGAUGAAGAGGGACUCGAAGUUGCCGUCUGCCGCCACGGAAUACUUCUGAGGAGCCUCAACAUGAUGCGUGGAGAUAUUUGCAUACCCACUGUUCUUGCAGAAGGAAUUGUCUGGCAGCAGGAACAAACAAUUCAUGUGUACGGAUGUGAUCUGCAAAUUUUGUCCAUACCUAACCAAAGUUUGCCUUCAUUGUCCAGAGCUCGCCACUCUUCUAGACAUGAAGCCACUUCUUUCCGUCAUGCAUGCAAAGGCACAUCGUUUGAAAUGCGAGCAAGAACCGACAUGCUAACCAUCCAGGCCGUGGGACAGAAGGAAGAACAACCUGCACAGAGCAUUGUUCCCAAGAUAUUUGAAGACAACAGCAAAAAUCAACAGGAGGAGACCUAGACUCAAAUGUUUAAGAGUGAUUUGGGUGUAGGCGAUGAGACUCUGGACAACGGAAGUUCAGCAAUGGGCUAAUAGAGAGGAAACAGCUUAGAACAUGGAUGGUCCCCAGGUACUACAGAGAACAAUUGAAGUCCUCUUACUUAGCAUCAAACAAAGGAAACAGAACCUCUUCCUUCAGACAGAUGGAUGCAAGAAAAGACACCCUCUGCGCAGAAAGAUAUUGGAAGAAAAGACCAAAUUGACAGCUGCCAUAGAGGAGUACAACACCCUUGUACUAGGUUCAGCAAUACCAUCUGCAGAUGAGAUCCUUUCCGCAGACCUUCAUGCAUGGCCUUGGGAGCUGCAUGGACAAAGUGAUGCUCCUGAGAUGGCUGAAGGAGGAGGAGUUAAUUGUCCUAAAGGAAGUCAAGCAGCACUGGGAAAGCCUAAAGAGGGAAUCGGAGAAUGUGCAAGACUUUGCUUCACAUGUGGCACUUGACCUAAGCAGGCAAAGCUGGCAAUUGAAUCAGUCGGAAGCUGGGAGCAGAGGUCUCUUCUCCAUGCUUCAGAGGAGAGUCAGCAGCCUCCGAAGACACCAGGACUCUGUCAAACUGAUAUACAGCAAAGCUAUGGGCCAAGACACCUCCCUCCUAGAGACGACCUCCUGGAAGAGGACAUCUACGACAGCAUCCACUACAGCUCUGAUGACGAGGAAUCUCUCACAGACUGAAGGUGUUCGUUUGGGUGGGCGCAGUUUGCACUGGGUGAAAAGUGAUUCCAUUCGUUUUGCAUAUGUGCUUCAUCUGCCUUCCUAAGGAAAAAUAGUUUGAACAUUUUAUGGAAAAUAAACUUUUAUGUUUCUUCCUUGUUGACAAUGUGAUCAAGUGGCACAUACUUGAGAAGGGCGCUCAUCUGUUACUGCUUUUGCCCGGUUACAUGACCAGGUCAGAUGCACCCCUUUAAAUGGCCAGUCUGCAGUUGCUACAUCCACUUUUGGAUUCUUGAAGAAUAUAGUUCAACUACAGUACCCCAUCAGAUCCCAAAAUAUAAGCUUUUUUUUAUUCUACUCCAAUGUUUGUACAAAAAGUAAAUGUAAACAAACACUUUAUAGCAGGUGUCAAACUCAUUCCACAGGUGAGCAGAGUGUUUGCGGGUUUUCGUUCCUCCCUUGUACAUGAUUGAUGAAUUAAGGUCACUAAUUUGUUUAUAGUAAAUGGUAAGGCCCAG